rnacentral:rRNA from 1 species
CCAGACUCCUACGGGAGGCAGCAGUGAGGAAUAUUGGUCAAUGGGCGAGAGCCUGAACCAGCCAAGUCGCGUGAAGGAUGACGGCCCUACGGGUUGUAAACUUCUUUUGUCAGGGAGCAAAGUCACCCACGUGUGGGUGUUGGAGAGUACCUGAAGAAAAAGCAUCGGCUAACUCCGUGCCAGCAGCCGCGGUAAUACGGAGGAUGCGAGCGUUAUCCGGAUUUAUUGGGUUUAAAGGGUGCGUAGGCGGAAUGCCAAGUCAGCGGUAAAAUCGCGGGGCUCAACCUCGCUCCGCCGUUGAAACUGGCGUUCUUGAGUGGGCGAGAAGUAUGCGGAAUGCGUGGUGUAGCGGUGAAAUGCAUAGAUAUCACGCAGAACUCCGAUUGCGAAGGCAGCGUACCGGCGCCCAACUGACGCUGAAGCACGAAGGCGUGGGUAUCGAACAGGAUUAGAUACCCUCGUAC